AUUGAACGCUGGCGGCAGGCUUAACACAUGCAAGUCGAGCGGGGGAAGGUAGCUUGCUACCGGACCUAGCGGCGGACGGGUGAGUAAUGCUUAGGAAUCUGCCUAUUAGUGGGGGACAACAUCUCGAAAGGGAUGCUAAUACCGCAUACGUCCUACGGGAGAAAGCAGGGGAUCUUCGGACCUUGCGCUACUAGAUGAGCCUAAGUCGGAUUAGCUAGUUGGUGGGGUAAAGGCCUACCAAGGCGACGAUCUGUAGCGGGUCUGAGAGGAUGAUCCGCCACACGGGGACUGAGACACGGCCCAGACUCCUACGGGAGGCAGCAGUGGGGAAUAUUGGACAAUGGGGGGAACCCUGAUCCAGCCAUGCCGCGUGUGUGAAGAAGGCCUUAUGGUUGUAAAGCACUUUAAGCGAGGAGGAGGCUACUCUAGUUAAUACCUAGGGAUAGUGGACGUUACUCGCAGAAUAAGCACCGGCUAACUCUGUGCCAGCCGCCGCCGUAA
rnacentral:rRNA from 1 species